rnacentral:lncRNA from 1 species
UGUGGACACUUCCUUUAAGAACAGUAUUGAUAGACUGCCUUUAUGCAAAUCCCUUUGGAAGAAAGGAUGGAGAGGAAGAAGCCGGAAACAGAUGAGAGGCAGGAAAUACCAAAUUGCAUGUUUAUAAAUGCUGUGAAGGAAUAUGGCAAGAGGGGAUAAUGCUAGACUGGCGGCCAUGGAAACUGAAGUCUUCUGUUUGUUCACAGGACGGCUCAUAGCCCUGAAAGUCCCAGUUCAAGCUUCCACAAUCAUCCUACACAAGAGCACUGCUUCUCACAGGACUGCCUCAGCCUGGCAGGAUUCAGUCUCCUGCUCUGAGGGAAAAACAGGAAGUCAAGGAUCAAGACCGAGUGCUCAACUGAGAUCAGAAAGGAGGACACACAGUGACUUGGCCAAAUCACUGGAGAUUCACACAGCAGAGCUCAGACGAGUGCUAUCAGCACAGCUGAGGAAGACAACAGUUAGCUGCUUUCAAGAAGAAAGAAGUGGUAGUACAAUACAAUCUCAGCAUUCUGUAAUCUGGCUUGAAUGUGACGGUGCAAGGAUCCUGAAAGAGAAACAUUGGUUGUGUUUUUAUUCCUUGGGUAUAAGAAUCCUGAAAGAGAAAGGCAUCUGAACCUUGGAGGCAUGGGGUUCAUCUCAUCCUCAUCCAGCCUGUGAUGAUGGAGCUGUUUUCACCAGAAACGUGAGGAGACUCAUACCACUUGAGGUAGUGUGGAUGUGUGGCACAGUUUUGGAGAGGGCUAUUCCCCUACCUUUACAUGGAAUCCAGUAACUCUCUGAAAACAUAGCAAUGGCAAAAGUCCUUUUCGAGACUGCAAGGAAAACAAACAACUACCAAGAGAAGUCCAAGCAUCAGGGAAAGAAUGAAGUGGUGUGGAGACCA